rnacentral:lncRNA from 1 species
UAAAGUAUGUGAUAUGUUCUAUCUUCCUUAUGUUGAGAGAUCGAAAAACUCAAAUCCCUUUGAUUGUGUUUUUCCUUUUGAGGCAGUUAUAUUCUAAGAGUAGGCCUAAGAGAUGCCUCUUGAAUCCGGAUUGUGACUGGAUUCAUUUAAAAUCAAUUUGCUCGUCAGAUCCUCUUUGAUAGAGACAAUCUGUAUCUUCACGAUUUCUUGGCAAUCUUCUUCUAUGCAUAUAAAUGCUGAUUUGAGGUCCUUCUUGGCAAUCUUCUUUUAUGCUGAUUUUUUUUAGACCCCUCCCAAAUUAGGAGGAUUUAUAGUGUUUCCACACUUCCCCUCUCGGGUGACUCGAGCCCAGGACCAAACGUUUGUGGCUGAAGGUGCUUUUUUCAACUGAGCAAGCUUCACUUGUCUCUUGUAUGUUGAUUUCAAAGCUUGUGAUUGAUCUCAUAUCUUCUAAUGGGUGGUUUCCGUAGAUCUUGCAAUGUUGAUUGAUCUUUUUCCUUCUCUGCUACCCUGAUUUGCACCUUGAUAAUGGUCUAUAAUGCAGUUAUCCAGCUUCUUGUGUCGUUCUUUUUCAUCUUGGUUUAGCUGCGUAUGUAUUUCUUGCAUUAGUAGUAUGCAUUUGACUCAUGUUUUUGGUCAUCAUUAAAAUUAAAAACCUAACAAACAUGUGCUCCUUAUAUAG